rnacentral:tRNA from 1 species
GGCCGAGUGGAGAUCACCCUAGGCUUGCACUCUGGAGGUCCCGGGUUCGAAUCCCGGCGGGGCCG